ACGAUUACAGCCUAAAUUGGACGCGGUCUUCCGAUAUUCAGAGUCCAGACAAACCCAAAGCCCUCGCUCUUCCUCAAUCCUCUUCGUCUUCCUCCGAACUCGGCGGUUGAAGACUCGCCGUCGCCCUCAAAUCGGCCGAAUCCGCCGGAGCAACGAUGUCGUACGACGACGUGGAGAUUGAAGACAUGGAGUGGAAUGAGGAACUGCAGGCCUUCACGUACCCAUGCCCUUGCGGCGACUUGUUCCAGAUUACGAAGGAGGAUCUUAAGCUCGGUGAAGAGAUUGCUCGGUGCCCUAGCUGUUCUCUUUACAUCACAGUUAUCUACAACAUGGAAGAUUUUCUCGGAGACUCUGAUCACAAGAAUAACAAAGGACUUCAGCCCUCCAAGCAACAGCCUAUCGUUGUCGCUUGAGAAUUAAGAGUACUCGAAUGUGAAUCACGGUGUAAACAGCUACACGUUGUUGCAGAUGAAAUUUUGUCAUCCAUUGUUGUUAAUUCGGAGACGUUCUGUCGCCAUUAUAGUUUGUUCUUUUUCUUUUGUUUUCUUCCCCGCCCCUUGAAAAAGUAAUUUAUAGAUUCUUGAUCUGUGCACAAUCUAAUGUUAAUAAGUGGUGAUUUCCUUGGUCGAACUUUCAGACAUAGAAUGGAUGAAAAGCUCUAAUGAUCUAAAUCUUUUGCUGUUCCUCA